rnacentral:rRNA from 1 species
UACGUAGGGUGCAAGCGUUGUCCGGAAUUAUUGGGCGUAAAGAGCUCGUAGGCGGUUUGUCGCGUCUGCUGUGAAAACUCGGGGCUUAACUCCGGGCUUGCAGUGGGUACGGGCAGACUAGAGUGCGGUAGGGGAGAUUGGAAUUCCUGGUGUAGCGGUGGAAUGCGCAGAUAUCAGGAGGAACACCGAUGGCGAAGGCAGAUCUCUGGGCCGUAACUGACGCUGAGGAGCGAAAGCAUGGGGAGCGAACAGG